CUAGGAGGUUUUGAGGUUUGUUGUUUGUUGUGUAGUGGAGGUCGUGUCUUUGGCGCCGGUGAAUUUCGUUGGAUGAAACCGGUUACGAUUUUCCCCAAAUCUGUGUCCUCAACUCUGUUUCUCACUAGAAAUUGAAUCUAAGGCAUCUUGGGUGGGUUUGAGUUUUUGUCCUCUGUCUUGAAUAAGUAACGGUGUAAGUGGUGGUGUAUUGGUGUUGUGUGGUGAGCAGAACAGGUCUAUCAUCUUUCAGAAGUUUCAGACUGUUGUCACCUCUCCGCCUUAGGAGUCCUUCUCCCGUCCUUUUAAUGAGUGUGUCUCCGGAUGGUCUUAUGUCUCUCUCAU
rnacentral:lncRNA from 1 species